UACGUAGGGUGCAAGCGUUGUCCGGAAUUAUUGGGCGUAAAGAGCUCGUAGGCGGUUUGUCGCGUCUGCCGUGAAAGUCCGGGGCUCAACUCCGGAUCUGCGGUGGGUACGGGCAGACUAGAGUGAUGUAGGGGAGACUGGAAUUCCUGGUGUAGCGGUGAAAUGCGCAGAUAUCAGGAGGAACAUCGAUGGCGAAGGCAGGUCUCUGGGCAUUAACUGACGCUGAGGAGCGAAAGCAUGGGGAGCGAACAGG
rnacentral:rRNA from 1 species